GCGCCACCGCGCCUGCGUGCCAGGACCUUUGCGGCGGGGGAGGGGCCUCGGCCGCGUGGCGUCCAGUGGUCCGCGGUACCUGCGGGCUGGGGCUGCCGCCUCCAAACGCGGGAUGGAGGUGGCCGGCUAAAAUGUCAGCUAAGAGGCAAAGACCCCUCCCUGCCUGUUUAUAAACACCACCACUUUCCCAUCUCCCAUAAAUGCCACCUCCAGGAGAGGAGGUCCAACUACGUACAUCCUCACAAAGUUGCACCCGGGUCAGGAAAUGCCUGGCUGCACCGCAGCGAUUGCAGUCUCCGCAGCGACUGACGCCCAGAGUUCGCUCAUGAAGUGCGGGGAGACACGAAGUAAUUACACGAGGUGAGGCAUGAAUCAGAAUUAACUGAGGAGGAAGGAGGAGGAUGCCUGGAACUGACUCACUGAAGGGAGGAAAAAACUGCACAGAAAACUGACUCUCCAACAAUGCUCUCUGCCAAAGCCACUGUGACAGUAUAUUGUGUAGGAAAAGAUACCCUGGGCCAGAAGACAACACAUCUGGGUUCUGGUGGCAGCAUCUUUACUCUCUUCAUCUGUUUUCUUAUUUCUGAAAUAAAGGUUCUCCUUUGUAACUAAACCGCUCUCUCAAAUUGGUGGUAGUGAAGUCCAUUCACUUUGUGAAGGUCCAGUGAUCUGGAAGGAAGCCUGGAACUCCUUGUGGCCUGAAUGUACUCAUAACCUCUCCCCUUGUGAGUGCCUGCCACAGUGGCGACAGAGAAACCACCCUGCAGGUCACUAGAAGGUGUGCAAUUGCUCCCCACUACAGACUCCUAGAGAGACAGAAAGAGAAAAUAUUACUGGAGAAAACCAUGCCAAGCCUGAGAAUGUUGAGUACCCGAGGCCAAGCUCAACAAGGCCAGGGAACUUUCCGUUAUGGUGCCGUGACUCAGAUAGGAUCAGAUUCAUCAUCUGGGCCCCUGGGUGACCUUAAGGCCACUUAGGACCUUAAGAAUGCAACGUUGAAGUCUUUAUCUUCCCUUCUGCCUGAUAGGCUGGGGAUCCUAUGGAGAGUCUGACUCUGGAACCGGUGCUACAGACAGACAUUGUUAAAGCUGGUAAGGACAGAUUUUGACUUGUAAGAUUCUGAGUAUACUCUACAAGCUGAUUUAGAGUCCCAGACAAACAGAUCCUGGGGUAUAGUCCUACAUUUCUCUAUUUGUAAGAAGAUGAGUUGGAGUCCCAGGCUUCCUUGAAAGGUACCUGCUGAGCUAGAAGUCUCUUCUUUCUGGAUCUCUUUCCUGAGAGGGGAUUAUUUCCUACCUCUCUGGGCUGGAAGUCUUUCUUCUUGGCUCUCUGUGAGGCCUCUCUGUUGUCCUCAUUGGAUUCUGCUUCUCCCAUGGGAACGUCUCAGUUGACUGAAACCCCCUUCUUGUACCUCUAUUAAUUAUGAGCUCUGCCAACUCAUCUGCUUCUUUUCUUGUUAGCAUGAUUUUGCUGAGGACAAUGUAGAGCUCCACUGGCCUCUUUGGAAAACCUGAGAUCUCCCCAGACUGGCUCCUCUAAGGCCUCUCCUUCUCCAUUGUGUCUCUCCUCCUUCCUCCUCUUACCAUCUUCAGUAUUCCCUCCUAUGCCUUGAACCCUUUUAUAUGUUCCCCCUCACACCCCUUCUUCCUUUAUUCCUCUGUCCAACCUUGCCAGACUUUUCCCUUCUCACCUUAUCCUCUCAGCUCCCUACAGCCACUUGAAUUUUAGGCCAUCUAUCCUCCCUCGGGGGCUCUCAGGAGACUCUGGGACCUCUAAAAGCAACCACCUGAGACUGAAAAGAGAAAAAAAAAGCUGGAACCAGAGAUAGCUGUUUUGUCCACUCAUAUGUACACUGGAGAUAUCCAGACAGCUGCUAGAUGUCUCUGUAGUCACCAGCCUAAAAUUUAGUUUACAUUCAGGGCAAAAGAAGAUGUUAAGUCUUCUCCACAAAUAUUGACAUACAGGUAACCUUAACUUGUCCAUUUGCUGGAAAUACAAUACAGAUAAAAACAUAAAGUGGAGAUAAACCAGUGAGUUUGUAUUACUAUGUUUUAUUAACUUUAAGACUAAAAUUUUAGAAUGAAAG